AACGAACGCUGGCGGCAUGCCUAACACAUGCAAGUCGAACGAGACCUUCGGGUUUAGUGGCGCACGGGUGCGUAACGCGUGGGAAUCUGCCCUUCGGUUGGGAAUAACUGAGAGAAAUUUCAGCUAAUACCUUAUAAUGUCUUCGGACCAAAGAUUUAUCGCCGAGGGAUGAGCCCGCGUAGGAUUAGGUAGUUGGUGGGGUAAUGGCCUACCAAGCCGACGAUCCUUAGCUGGUCUGAGAGCAUGAUCAGCCACACUGGGACUGAGACACGGCCCAGACUCCUACGGGAGGCAGCAGUGGGGAAUAUUGGACAAUGGGCGAAAGCCUGAUCCAGCAAUGCCGCGUGAGUGAUGAAGGCCUUAGGGUUGUAAAGCUCUUUUACCCGGGAUGAUAAUGACAGUACCGGGAGAAUAAGCUCCGGCUAGCUCCGUGCCAGCCGCCGCAGUAA
rnacentral:rRNA from 1 species